AACUUGGAAAUAAAAUAAAUUCAAUAAAAAACAGUUUAAUAAAAUACAUGGUAGAAAUCAGUGAAGGAAAACCUUUGGAGUUAGAGAAACAACCUAAAAUAUACACACCUAAAUUUGAUCCCAUAUGACACAAUAAAUAUCCACAUGCGAAUAUAUGUGUGCAUGUACAUAUAGAUGUUAUAUACCAUGCAGUUUGUGUACUACAUGUGUGCACAUAUGUAUCUUUAUGUCAUGUAUUACUUAUGUAUUUCUGCGUAUCAUAUAUUACAUAUUAUAUGCUAAUACUGUAAUUUUUUUCUGAUAAUUCUGUGACGAAGGAAACUGAUGACCCAAAUUAGCUAGGAUUUACCAAGGAAGAGCUAAAGGCAAGAUUUGGAAUUUCACUUGUCUUAAGUCCAAUUCAAAUGCUCCAUCUUGGAGCUGCUUCUUGGAACAGGUUGGUGAAUUUUUAUUUUCAUCCUCCCAAGGACUUUUCCAUUUACCUUCAGCCUGUCUGUUGGACUCAGCACAGCAUCAAUUCCCCCUGAAACUGGUCUGUUAAAAGUGGACACGUGGAACUUAAGAAAAAAAUGGAGUAAAUGGCUGGAGAUAGAGGACUGCUUUCCCUUCCCAUUUGAAAUUAAUGUUCACUGUAUAAAAAACAUAAAGCAUAUCCAUCCCCAGGGACUUGCCUGACAUUUUAAAACUUUCAUCUGCUUUAAUUCACGGCGUUUGAGGUAGGGAUUUACACAUUGCUGAGCUCCAGUGGCUAGUUGGCUGCCGUGUGCAUUUCCUCUCCUGUUGGGCUAGGCUGAGCUUUCUGCAGGCCCAAACAAAUUAUAUAGCUUAUUUAGCUCUCUCUAAAAACAAUAAUGGGCCUAUUCAGAUUUUAUCUGUAAUUUUACUUUGUUGUUGAGCAGUAUUAAUAAUACUGUUGUUAACAAGGCCAAGGCAGCCUUCACUGAAUUUUCUAGGCUUUAGUGAUAGGAUAAAUAGCUGCUUGCAUCUCACAAAGGGAAACAUGUAGAUCGUCUCAAUUUAAGUCAGACACACUUGCCUGGAUGGGAGCCAUGUUAAUAUCACAUCUUGCAGAUUUGGCAUGGGCUUUAAGAGUCCUGUAUUUCAAGUUGGUUUUUAUAGAAACUUGCUGCAGAACUGGGCAGGAUUAAUCAUGGCUGAGAUAUAUCACACUUAGUGCAGUAUUAAAUUCUCACAGUGGAACGAUGCAAAACCAGUUCAUAACCUUAUAAGAACAUCGUGCGCUACAGUAAUCAUAGAGAAAUACUGUAUAUCCAAAUUAAUGGAGAAUAAAAUGUCCUGUACUUUUUUUUUUUAUGUCAGGCAACACUUCUGUGUUGUAUUCAUUUCUUUCCCUUUACCUUGCAUGGGAGCUGGCCAAGUUGAGCCUUAAGUCUUCCUGUGCUUUGUUAUCACUGGACUUGUACUUAGCUGAGCGCUGUGCUGAGCUUGGGGGUUAGAAAGUACUUAUGGCUCAGUUCCUCUCCUCAUGGAGUGGUCUCUCUGGAUCUAUAAUAUGCAGAUGUUCAUUGUUUUUCUAGAGUCUUCCCCCAGUCUUUCUCCAAUCUUCCUCCCUAUCAGCCAGAGCCAGAGUUUAUAAGUUUUUAUGGAUCUGAAUUUAAUGGUAAUACACACUAUCUGCCUGCCUGCCUGCCUGCCUGUCCGUCUAUCAGCAUUAGAGAACUCAGGGCCUAGUGUGCAAGUAUUCUGUCAUUUGAGGCUGGCUCCCAGCCAUUUUGCUUUUGAUUUGUUUUCCACAUAGGAAACUAUGCUAACUUUGUUUGCUCCAACUUGCCUUAGGCCAUCAUCCUCUUACCUUCACCUUAUGAGGAGCUGGGAUUACAGAGAUGUAUACCAUUAUAUUUGACUUCAUGCAUGCAUCUUUAGAAUCAGUUCUGGUAUUGCCUGUGCUCCAGAAAUAAGUUUUUUUUUCCUAUAUAAUUUGGCUCAAGUAUUUUGGUAGGUAAGGAUAAAUUAAACAGCAGUGUGAAGGUCAUCAAUGUAUUAUUUCCUCUCAAAAAUUUCUCAACCAAUGAGAGAAGCUAUAAAAUACAUCUUCAUAAGGACCCAUGGACUUUUCUUGAGAAACUGUUAAAUUGAAGAGACUAUAUAGGUUUAGUUAGAUUAAAGGGUUUUUCAUGGCUAAUGUUUCAAGCAUGUGAUAGGUAGAGUUGUUACAUUUUUCACCUCUCUCUCCAUAAUGGUCAUCAAAAUAAAUUUUGUGACCAUUUUAGAGUGGGCCCUGCAGAAUUCACUAUAGAGCAUCCUCUUCCUUCCUCCAUGGUACUGUGGUUUGCACUCUCAGAGCCUUGCAUGUGCUAAGAAAGUGUUCUGCCCCUUGCGUCAUGCCCUAAGCCCUCACUAUGGGAAAUGACUAAUAUGGUGAUAAGGUUCUUAGCUAAAUAUUCCAAGUCUUAGUAGUGGCUUGGGGUCUUCUGUGGCUAUUUGACUCAACAUCAUGCUCCUGAAAUAUCAUGAGGAUACAAUAGCUUAUCAAAGGUUCACUUUUAACCUGACAGCAACUCUUUUUCAGACUGAUCUAUUUUUAACUUUCUUGUGACAUAUUAAACUUCCUUAAUUUGAAAUGAGAGUAUUUUUGAGGACUUUAGAACUUGGUGUGUUGAAAUGCAAGGAAAAAAUGUGCCAAAGAGGUAUUAUUUGGGGGAUAAUGGCCCUUUAGGUGCUGCCCAUGUAUAUAUACAUCAAGGUUUAGAUUCAGUAGCUACAGCCUUCCCAGUUCAGCAAGGCUGCUCAAUGGGGGCAGAGAAUCAAACUGAGAUGCUGUCUCUGGUCCUACUGGAAGACAAACUGUUUUCCUGUUUUCUCCCAAUUCUCAAGUCAUUACUGUGUAAAUGUGGUCAGGCAUCUGUAUUCCUUAACUGCCCUGUACUUAUGUGUGUAAUAAACUCCUACCAAAACAGUAGCCAUUAUUUCUUUUACUCUUUUUAGUUUUCAAAUUGGAUCUUUUCUCCUUCUGGUAGUUAAGUGAGUCACUUAAAUUUAAUUUGAUAGUGUUUUUGAGUUCAUAUAAUACAGAUGCUGAUUUUGCCAGAUGUAAACCUAGCACAGUAAUGCCCUGCUUCUGAGAUUAUUGGUAAACACAUUGCAAUACCACUAAAUAGAUACUUUCAGGCAUUUUCUCUACAGGCUUAAAAGAAGUAUACAGCACUAUGUUUAAAAGUAUUUCAGGGAAGAAAUCUUUUUUCUUACUGAGGGUUUUGGAACUUCAGAAUGUUCCUCUGACUUGUGAAGCAGAGAUUUUUUUUUCACAAGGUCUCUUUAAUUGGUGGCCAACAUGGGCAUUACAAGUCAAGCCAGAGGAGAUGUGCCUGGGAGAAUACCAUCCCACUUACUCAGGUACAUAGAGGGACACCUUUCUAGCAAAAGAGGCCAAGGAGAGAUUCUCAGGUGGACCUAUCUGGUUGUCCACCCAUCAUCAAUUCAUCUAUCCAUCUUCAGUAUAUUCAUUGAGAGCUUAUUGAUUUUCAGACGCUGAGGAAGCAAGAUAAAUCAGGGGCCUCUGAUUGUGACAAUAUGACAUCCAUGAUACAAAGAGCUAUGUAGUUUCAGGAAGAGUAAGAUAGGAGGAGUA